rnacentral:rRNA from 1 species
CCUACGGGAGGCAGCAGUGGGGAAUAUUGCACAAUGGGCGCAAGCCUGAUGCAGCCAUGCCGCGUGUGUGAAGAAGGCCUUCGGGUUGUAAAGCACUUUCAGCGAGGAGGCGUUACUCGCAGAAGAAGCACCGGCUAACUCCGUGCCAGCAGCCGCGGUAAUACGGAGGGUGCAAGCGUUAAUCGGAAUUACUGGGCGUAAAGCGCACGCAGGCGGUUUGUUAAGUCAGAUGUGAAAUCCCCGCGCUUAACGUGGGAACUGCAUUUGAAACUGGCAAGCUAGAGUCUUGUAGAGGGGGGUAGAAUUCCAGGUGUAGCGGUGAAAUGCGUAGAGAUCUGGAGGAAUACCGGUGGCGAAGGCGGCCCCCUGGACAAGCUGACGCUCAGGUGCGAAAGCGUGGGGAGCAAACAGGAUUAGAUACCCUUGUAGUC